CGAGGAGCUGGAUCUGAUCAGGGGGUUCUGUCCGGCGGAUUUGGAAGCCGAUCUCCUCCUACGCGACCCUCUCCUUCCUCGAUCUCUCUAGCCUUCGUCGCCGAUCCUGAGGAACUCAUCGCUGGAUCUCGACGGUGCCAAGGAAGACCGGGCUGCCUUCGGCCGAAGGGUCUCUGCUCCGGUGGUGCUUGCGGCCGAUCGCCGAAGGUGCGGCGGCUAGGGCACGGUGAAGGACCAGAUCUUGCGUCGACUCCCAACCAAUCGCCUACCGAAGCUUGGAGAGGUGCCCUAGUCCGGAUCUGUAUCACUCGAUCGCCGGCGUGGGUUUUGGUUGGAGAUGAUGGGAUCAAUUGAGUUGCCGAGCAAAGGCUUGAAGGUUUAUUGUGUGAUCCGUGAUCUCCAUUGAUUGAACCCUUCUUGAUCCGAUCAGGAGGUGAGGUCUGUGCUUGCUGUGGAGUUUCUUUGGUUCCGGCAGCUACUCCAUCGAGCAGAACACUUUGUUCCAGCAUCAAUAGGGGGCUGUGAGGUUAAGGACUCUGAUUAGAGACAGGCGUCUCGACCUUGGAUUGCUUGAUUGUACCUUCUAUUGGAG